CUGACUUUGUGCUUUGCUCCCAUCUGUAAUGACUCUGAAUUUAUGUUUUUUGUAUCAUGUCUUGUUGUGUCUUUGUUUUGAUUUUCCAUGCCCCUCUGUGUCCUUUAAGUUUCUAUGUUCUCCCCUCUGUCUGUUGUAUUGUUCCCUUCACGUUUUCUCAUGUGCUCCUCCCCCUCAUUACCACACCUGGCCUCCUCCCUCCUCACCUGUUCCUCGUCUGUUCAUCAGCGUCUGUGUUUUUAGUCUGUGUCUUCCCUUCACUCCUUGUCCGAUCAUUGUAUUCUGUCUGUCUCUGUCUGCGUCAGCCUCCGGUCAUGCGCCUGCUCCUGUUCAUGUCAUGUCCUCCCAGUCUCCCCAUGGACUAACCACAAACACAGAUGAAUAUGGAAUACAUUGCAGUCCUGCACCGGCAUACUUUGGUUUUAAGCAUAUGACUGCUCACUUUAAAGUGAGCUCCUGGGCCCCUUCACCUGGAAAAGGUCUAAUCAUAUUUGGCUACAUCUCUGGAGAGGAUAGCGAGGACAGACGCUCAGCUGCAUUCAUUCAAAUGGAUGGAACGAUGCAACUCUCCGGUUACAUCAGCGCCUUCUGCACCCAAGGCCACUGAUCCCUCCAGUCAACAUGGUGGACAGGAGGUCGUCUGGCUCGGGCUCCACUUGGUGAUGCCUCGUCCUGCUCGGUCGUCUCCUGGUUCCACUAACAUUGCAUAACUUGUAUCAGAUCUUCUGUUGAUGUACCUUGUAAACUGUGAAUUGUUGCUCUUUUCUGUACACGCAACAUCUAUUGCAUGUCUGUCCGUCCUGGAAGAGGGAUCCCUCCUCUGUGGCUCUUCCUGAGGUUUCUUCCAUUGUUUUUUUUUUACCCUGUUAAAAGGUUUUUUUUCCAUCAACAUGUGAAGUUUUUCCUCACUCGAAUCGAGGGUCUAAGGACAGAGGAUGUUGUUCACUGUACAGAUUGUAAAGCCCACUGAGGCAAUGUGAUUGUGAUUUUGGGCUAUAUAAAUAAAAUUGAUUUGAUUUGAUUUGAUUUGUAUACACUAUUAUCACAACACUUUUGUGUGCCCGGCUUUUCCUCUUUGAGGUGAGUUAGGGAAAAGG
rnacentral:lncRNA from 1 species